UUUUACUUGCCUUUUUUCUUUUGAUAGGCAAUCUAGGCUUGAACCCGUUACCUCUGUUGGAACACACCUUGUCUACCAUUUGGCUGUGGGCUUGAGCCCAUUUUACUGAUUCCUAAAGUACAUUUUUGGAUUUCCCUUUUUUUUUUUCCUUGUAUCUUUGAAUCUAAGCUGGAUACGUCUGUCAAAUUCCGGGUGAGGUUUUCGGGUUCUGCCGUUUUUCUCAUAAUAGUGAUGAUAAUCAAACCCUAUAUGUGACUGCAAUGCAAGGCCUGCAUGGAAUCAUUGUCUCUUGGAACACUAUAACAGAUUAUGGGCAGGCGAUUGGGACCAAGGAUUCUUGGUAGGGCUGAUGAUUCUAUGGUUGUUGAUGCUAGAAGAUGCUUAUUAUGAAGACCAGGUGGAAAUGGUGAUCGAGAAGAUGCUUCAUUAAGUACACAAAUGGUCGGAGAGGGGUAUGUUUUUAAAUUUGGUUUUGCUUUUUUUCCCCUUUUCUU